GUGUAAAAGCACACUUUUGACAUCUAAGUUUGUUCGUUAUAAACUUCACGUGAAGAAAUUGAUGAAAAAGAAAAUUGUUCUAUUUUUUCAUUUUAUUUGGCGUGAAUUCAGUGUCACCAACCUGUGUCCAUUUGGCGGGAAGUGGAAGUAGAGCUGUAGAGCUUUUUGUUUAUUAUUAUUUGUUGAGGUUGAGUCUUUCAUGUUCAUGAGAACCUAAAAAUUUUGAUUGGAAAAUGCAUAUAAGAUAGGGGGUGGGAAAAUGGAAAUUAGUGGCUUUUUUGCAGUUCUGUCUGUUAGUUUUGCUCUGGCUGGGUCUUUUUUGUUUAAACAAUUAUAAUCAGCUGAAAGUGGUCUACAAAAAACCCAGGAAGGAAACGUAUUAUAGCCUUGUUGUGGCUAUGAAAGGCAAAA
rnacentral:lncRNA from 1 species